UGCAAACUGUCAGAUCAGGCACCAGGU
rnacentral:piRNA from 1 species